UAAAAACCCCGACUUCGGAAGGGGUGUAUUUAUUAGAUACAAAACCAAUGCCCUUCGGGGCUCUUUGGUGAUUCAUGAUUACUAUACGAAUCGCACGGCCUUGCGCCGGCGAUGGUUCAUUCAAAUUUCUUCCCUAUCAACUUUCGAUGUUUGGGUAUUGGCCAAACAUGGUUGCAACGGGUAACGGAGGGUUAGGGCUCGACCCCGGAGAAGGAGCCUGAGAAACGGCUACUACAUCCAAGGAAGGCAGCAGGCGCGCAAAUUACCCAAUCCCGACUCGGGGAGGUAGUGACAAUAAAUACUGAUACAGGGCCCUUUCGGGCCUUGUAAUUGGAAUGAGUACAAUUUAAAUCCCUUAACGAGGAACAAUUGGAGGGCAAGUCUGGUGCCAGCAGCCGCGGUAAUUCCAGCUCCAAUAGCGUAUAUUAAAGUUGUUGUGGUUAAAAAGCUCGUAGUUGAACCUUGGGCCUGGCUGGCCGGUCCGCCUCACCGCGUGCACUGGUCCGGCCGGGCCUUUCCCUCUGUGGAACCCCAUACCCUUCACUGGGCGUGGCGGGGAAACAGGACAUUUACUUU
rnacentral:rRNA from 1 species